CCUACGGGUGGCAGCAGUGAGGAAUAUUGGUCAAUGGUCGGGAGACUGAACCAGCCAAGUAGCGUGAAGGAUGACUGCCCUGCGGGUUGUAAACCUCUUUUGUAAAGGAAUAAAGUCAGGCACGUGUGCCUUGUUGUAUGUACUUUAAGAAUAAGCAUCGGCUAACUCCGUGCCAGCAGCCGCGGUAAUACGGAGGAUGCGAGCGUUAUCCGGAUUUAUUGGGUUUAAAGGGUGCGCAGGCGGAAGAGCAAGUCAGCGGUAAAAUUGAGAGGCUCAACCUCUUCGAGCCGUUGAAACUGGUUUUCUUGAGUGAGCGAGAAGUAUGCGGAAUGCGUGGUGUAGCGGUGAAAUGCAUAGAUAUCACGCAGAACUCCGAUUGCGAAGGCAGCAUACCGGCGCCCAACUGACGCUCAUGCACGAAAGUGUGGGUAUCGAACAGGAUUAGAUACCCCAGUAGUC
rnacentral:rRNA from 1 species